GCGCCGGUGGUUGAAUGGUACAAUACGACGUUGCCAACGUUGUGGUCCGGGUUCGAUUCCCGGUCGGCGCA
rnacentral:tRNA from 1 species